rnacentral:rRNA from 2 species
AUUGCCCUAGUACGGCGAGUGAAGCGGCAACAGCUCAAAUUUGAAAUCUGGCUCUAGGGCCCGAGUUGUAAUUUGCAGAGGAUGAUUUUGGCGCGGUGCCUUCCGAGUUCCCUGGAACGGGACGCCUUAGAGGGUGAGAGCCCCGUACGGUUGGACACCAAGCCUCUGUAAAUCUCCUUCGACGAGUCGAGUAGUUUGGGAAUGCUGCUCUAAAUGGGAGGUAAAUUUCUUCUAAAGCUAAAUACCGGCCAGAGACCGAUAGCGCACAAGUAGAGUGAUCGAAAGAUGAAAAGCACUUUGAAAAGAGGGUUAAAUAGCACGUGAAAUUGUUGAAAGGGAAGCAUUUACUACCAGACCUUCUCCCUGCGGAUCAUGCGGUGUUCUCACCGCUGCACUUCGCUUGGUUUAGGCCAGCAUCGGUUUUCGUAGAGGGAUAAAAGCUUUAGGAACGUAGCUCCCUCGGGAGUGUUAUAGCCUUUUGCAUAAUACCUUUACGGGGACCGAGGACCGCGCUUUUGCAAGGAUGCUGGCAUAAUGGUAGUCAAUGACCCGUCUUGAAACACGGACCAAGGAGUCGAACAUUUGUGCGAGUGUUUGGGUGUCAAACCCUCACGCGUAAUGAAAGUGAACGUAGGUGAGAGCCCUUACGGGUGCAUCAUCGACCGAUCUUGAUGUCUUCGGAUGGAUUUGAGUAAGAGCAUAACUGUUCGGACCCGAAAGAUGGUGAACUAUGCGUGGAUAGGGUGAAGCCAGAGGAAACUCUGGUGGAGGCUCGCAGCGGUUCUGACGUGCAAAUCGAUCGUCAAAUCUGCGCAUGGGGGCGAAAGACUUAUCGAACCAUUAAACCAGCGGUAAAAAUAUUUACUAGGUGGUUAAGAGGCCCUCUGCAAAGAGAAGAAGGCCUAGUGACCUACCUGGAAAGAUGCUACCCGGCACUUCCCGGUAGGUUACCGACAUCGCUAAAUUGCGGGAA